rnacentral:rRNA from 1 species
UACAGAGGGUGCUAGCGUUGUUCGGAAUCAUUGGGCGUAAAGAGCGUGUAGGCGGCUAGGUAGGUCCGUUGUGAAAACUCGAGGCUCAACCUCGAGACGUCGAUGGAAACCAUCUAGCUAGAGUCCGGAAGAGGAGAGGGGAAUUCCUGGUGUAGCGGUGAAAUGCGCAGAUAUCAGGAAGAACACCCGUGGCGAAGGCGGCUCUCUGGUACGUGACUGACGCUGAGACGCGAAAGCGUGGGGAGCGAACAGG